rnacentral:rRNA from 1 species
AUUGAACGCUGGCGGCAGGCUUAACACAUGCAAUUCGAACGAGUGGCGGACUGGCGAGCAAUGCUUUGGAAUCUAGCUAAUGUAGGGGUAUAACUACGGGAAACUGUAGCUACUAUCGCUUACCAUAGGAUGAGCCCAAGUUGGAUUAGGUAUUUGGUGAGGGAAAGGCUCACCAAGACGACGAUCUCUAGCUGGUCUGAGAGGAUGACCCGCCACACUGGGACUGAGACACGGCCCAGACUCCUACGGGAGGCAGCAGUGGGGAAUAUUGCGCAAUGGGGGCAACCUGACGCAGCCAUGCCGCGUGAAUGAAGAAGGCCUUCGGGUUGUAAAGUUCUUUCGGUAGCGAGGCGUUAACUACAGAAGAAGCACCGGCUAACUCCGUGCCAGCAGCCGCGGUAAUUC